UGUAGGUUGGUGGUUUUCAUUCGGUUUGUAGCUUUAGUAUUUGUGUUGUAGCGUUCAGGUUUUUGUUGAUCCCUCUCGGCCCCCCUCCGGACAUCUUCACCAAACUGGACCAAGCAGAGUUCAGGACCAGCAGAGAAGUCCAGUCACACGAUUGUCCCAUCACUGCAGUGGUUGUUCUCCAUCUCAUUGCUGUCUACUGGAUUCAUUGUUUACAAUAAGAAGAAAGCUACAUGCCCUCGAUCUUGUCCUGACAGCAGCUCUGAGAAACUGAAUCCAAAGACCUGACUCUCAAAAUGGUCCACUUUGAUACAGUAUGUG